AAGCAUCUGAUGAAUUACUCGGAUUCCCCUUCGGGACAUCUCGGAUGAUGCAAAUUCGAGUUUCUGAUGUG